rnacentral:misc_RNA from 1 species
UGCCCCUCACUUGCCAAUACGUCUAGAUCAACCAGGGCGUAGGCAUGUGUAGCGUAUUUUGUCGGGUUUCGAGAUCAAGAAUCGAUGUCCCUUUGUUGGUUGGUUGGUUUUCCGAGAAUCCUUGACCCUUGAUUUGUUACUUUCGCAUCGUUCGGUGCAUUCUGGGGGAUGUUUUGGCUUUUGGUGGCUUACUUGGCCUUUUGGCUGGGUUUGUUGCUAUUGGUCGGGCGGCUUUCGGGAAUGUCGACCGUGGAGGUGCAUGAGUGGUGUUUGGUUUGUUACGUGUGGAUGGCUGUUUGCUUGCGCAACAACGUUCACGCUGCAUACCUCUUCAGUUUUGCGGCAAGGCUUGGUUUGGCUUGUGCAUAUUGUGGGUUUCCUGUGUUGCAUACUUAGUUGAAGGAAAAGUGUGGGUUUUACGAUUUUCAUUUUCGUCUUGCGUCGUUCUUUCGGCAUGGGAUGAGCAACGAAGCGAUCUUUAUGAUCCAUCGUGCUGUUGCGUUUGCAACAAUGAUGUGGCCUAUGAAGCAUCGUUUGGUCUCUUGUAUACGGAAGCUCAUUUGGGCUUGGGUCUUUAUAAGAUCUUCGUUAUGCCCUUGUUAAGCGUUCUCGCUUCUCCUAAACGAUUG